GCAAUCUACCUUUCACAGAGGGAUAGCCCAGAGAAAUUUGGAUUAAUACCUCAUAGUAUAACGACUCGGCAUCGAGAUGUUAUUAAAGUCACAACGGUGAAAGAUGAGCAUGCGUCCCAUUAGCUUGUUGGUAAGGUAACGGCUUACCAAGGCUACGAUGGGUAGGGGUCCUGAGAGGGAGAUCC
rnacentral:rRNA from 1 species